rnacentral:rRNA from 1 species
CCCGAGUGCUUGCACUCAAUUGGAAAGAGGAGUGGCGGACGGGUGAGUAACACGUGGGUAACCUACACAUCAGAGGGGGAUAACACUUGGAAACAGGUGCUAAUACCGCAUAACAGUUUAUGCCGCAUGGCAUAAGAGUGAGAGGCGCUUUCGGGUGUCGCUGAUGGAUGGACCCGCGGUGCAUUAGCUAGUUGGUGAGGUAACGGCUCACCAAGGCCACGAUGCAUAGCCGACCUGAGAGGGUGAUCGGCCACACUGGGACUGAGACACGGCCCAGACUCCUACGGGAGGCAGCAGUAGGGAAUCUUCGGCAAUGGACGAAAGUCUGACCGAGCAACGCCGCGUGAGAGAAGAAGGUUUUCGGAUCGUAAAACUCUGUUGUUAGAGAAGAACAAGGACGUUAGUAACUGAACGUCCCCUGACGGUAUCUAACCAGAAAGCCACGGCUAACUACGUGCCAGCAGCCGCGGUAAUACGUAGGUGGCAAGCGUUGUCCGGAUUUAUUGGGCGUAAAGCGAGCGCAGGCGGUUUCUUAAGUCUGAUGUGAAAGCCCCCGGCUCAACCGGGGAGGGUCAUUGGAAACUGGGAGACUUGAGUGCAGAAGAGGAGAGUGGAAUUCCAUGUGUAGCGGUGAAAUGCGUAGAUAUAUGGAGGAACACCAGUGGCGAAGGCGGCUCUCUGGUCUGU